AAAAACAUGGUUCCAUAGAGGGAAAUGUGCAUAUGUAAACAUUCACAAAAGGAGCUGGUGUGCAAAGAUUCAAUGUGUUUUGCAAUAUAGACAGCUGUGUAAACAUCAAAGGACAUUUAAUGUCAAUCGCUCUAUUGCAUUUCUGACAAACAUCUAUGACCUCUGGUCUUAAAAAGAACAUUGGUUUAGUUAUUUAUUAAUUUCCCAGGGGAAAAGAACUAAAAAGAAGUCAAAAUGUGGGUUAACAUGAACUAUUAUGAACUGUCAACUGAAGGUGUCACUCAUGUUCUCCAUACCCAUGGAAGAUACAUAGUUGAUCUUUCUACUGGCACUAAUGACUUCUCCACCCCCUUUCCUAGCACAUAAAUACUGCAGAUUGUCUUCAUGGAUUCACACCUGAACUCAGAAAGACACCGCAUAUGCUAACCUACUAGGAAAAGAGGGAUUUCUGGAGGGAAAGAUCAAUGGACCUGUUUCUAAAAUUUUCCACAAAAACAUGAGCACUGCUGGCUACCAUUCUGGUGCUCCUCUACCUGUAUGGAACCUCUUCUCAUGGACUUUUUAAGAAGCUGGGGAUUCCUGGCCCCAAACUUCUGCCUUUUGUUGGGACAAUGCUUAACUAUAGGAGGGUCCCCAAGACUGACACUUUUUGUACAUUUAUCACAGUAACACUCAUUCUUGAUGACUUCUAGUAAUCUCAAGCCCUGCAUAGAGUGCCACAUUACAUGAACUGGAAGGAAUGAGGAUCCCAAUGGUCAAGGUGAUGAGCUGUUUCAGGGUGGACUGUGUAUGACAAAUAAAGAAGACAUGUAGCUAUGCCCAGGAGGUCUUGCAUAAAAUGAUGAGUUAUAUUAGAAAUUUUUAAGCAGAAAGCUUCUUACAUGGUAUAUGUAAAAGGGAAAUGGCCAAGGCUUGCACACAGCUAAAUCAUAAAUGGAUGGAAAAAGAACACAGGUAUCCAUACCUCAGUCACAGAUGCCUUAGGACUGAAGCACAGACCAGGAAAAAA